AUACGGAGGGUGCAAGCGUUACUCGGAAUCACUGGGCGUAAAGCGCGCGCAGGCGGCUAUUUAAGUUGGAUGUGAAAGCCUACGGCUCAACCGUAGAACUGCAUCCAAAACUAUUUAGCUAGAGUGUGGGAGAGGAAGAUGGAAUUAGUUGUGUAGGGGUAAAAUCCGUAGAGAUAACUAGGAAUACCAAAAGCGAAGGCAAUCUUCUGGAAUACUACUGACGCUGAGGCGCGAAAGCGUGGGGAGCAAACAGGAUUAGAUACCCUAGUAGUCC
rnacentral:rRNA from 1 species